CGGCUAGUUUUUAGUCCAUUUUUGAUACAUUUAAUGUGCAUUAAAUAUAAUCUAACGGCCCUUAACCGACUCUAAGACACUCUCAAGAUCAAAUGAAGACUAUAAAUGCUCUCUGGAGGUAAAAAAUUAAAUAAAAACCAAGCAUUCAAGCUCAAAUCCAUGAAAGAGAAAGAAAAUCUUAGAAAGAGAGGAAAGAAGCAUUCAAUCAACUCACCAACUACUCUUCAGCUACAUUCAAGUGUUCAAAUCAUUUGAGGGUACCUAACAAAGACUUCUACUCCUUGAGUAUUGUGCUUUGAUUGUUUUUAUUGUGCUCAUUUAAGGAGCUUGUGUGUGCUAAAAUUUUUAUACUCAUAUUUUUUGUUAUUGUAUAUCGAGUUUUGAGUUUUGGAGGAUUUCAAAACUCGAAAAGGUUGAUCUAAACCUGUAAUCGGAGGGUUUGUAGAUUAGCUUGUAUUCGAAAAACAAGUAUUCUUGCUUGGACAGUAAAAGUCGGUGUUAUCCGACGUGUUAUAUUUUUUAAAUCCUUUUAGUAGAUUAAAUUUUCAAAUUGAGACUUAGGAAGUAGAUGUAGAUACAAAGUUAGCACCGAACCACUAUAAAUCUCUUGUAUUUAUUGUGCUUGCAUAUUUUCUUUUCUUCUUUGUGC
rnacentral:lncRNA from 1 species